ensembl:lncRNA novel transcript
GUGGGCUUCUAAUCUGGUCAGGUGGUGAUAAAUUCCCUUAGCAUUUGCUUGACUGAGAAAGACCUUAUUUCUUCUUUAUUUAGGAAGCUUAGUUUGGCCAGAUAUAAAAUUCUUGGCUGAUAUUUUUUUUUCUUUAAGAAGGAUAAAAAUAGGCUCCCAAUUUUGUCUGGCUUUUAAGGUUUCUGUUGCAAAGUUUACUACUAAUCUGAUAGGAUUUCCUUUAUAAAUAAUUUGUUCUUUUUCUGUAGAUGCCCUUAAGAUUUUUUUUUAUCAUUGACUUUGGAUAGUCUGAUGACCAUAUGCCUUUGUGAUGCUUAUCUCAUUUAGUAUCUCACAAGUGUUCUCUGAAUUUCUUGAAUCUGGAUAUCCACCUCUCUAGCAAGAUUAGGGAAUUUUUUCUGGAUUAUUCUCCUAAAUAUAUUUUUCACAUUGCUUAUUUUUUCUUAUUCUCUUUCAAUAAUGCCUAUAAGUCAUAGGUACAGUCACUUUACAUAAUCCCAUAUUUCUUGAAGUCUAUAUUCAUUUUUUAAAAUUCUUUUUUAUUUAUUUUGGUCUGACUGGCUUUAUUCAAAAGACCACUCUUCAAUCUCUAAAAUUCUUUCUUCUGCUUGGUCUAGUCUAUUGUUAAAGCUUCCAACUAUAUUUUGAAAUUCACUUAGUUAAUUUGUCAAUUCCAGAAGUUCUAUUAUUUUAAUAUAGCUAUUCCAUCUUUCAUAUCCUAAAUUGUUUUUCUGUUUUUGUAUGUGCUGGUUUUCAACUUUCUCUUUUAUCUUAUUGAGUUUCCUGGCAGUCCAUAUUUUGAUUUAUUUAUCUGUCAUUUCAGACUUUUUAUUUUGAUUAAGAGUCAUUACUAGAGAGCUAGUAUAAUCCUUUGGAGGUAUCACUAUACUCUGUUUUUUGCACUGCUGGAAUUCUUGCACUAAUUCCAUCUCAUCUGAAGGAGCUGUUCCUUCUUAUUUUUGAAUCUGCUAUUGUUUGAAUGGGACUUUUAUAUUUUUAAAUUCUUUUUUUCCCAUGAGGGUAUGACUGUAGUUUAUGUUUUGUAUGAUUGUUUAACUUUAUUUCUAGGUUGUUUUAGAAGGCCAAGUAUUUGUAUGGGUUCCUUGGUUGGGGUUUUUGUUUGUUUGUUUGGUGGUUUUCGUUGAUACUACUUGUUUCGCAGUAGAUUGGAUGCAUGAACCAACAAUUCUCUCCUGCAGGGCUGAGAAUGUGCAGGUAUCAGGAUGCUUAUCUACUGCACUAGCACUAUGCACUUCUGGAAGCAAGUUUUUUAUUUGGUUGUGCAGUUCAAGCUUCAGUUCAGUAGGUGGCAGUUAAUUGUAAGAGCUUGAUUGCCCUCAGGUAGGUGAUGAUGAGUAGAAGCACCUGCUCUCAUGUGGCCAGUGGUGGUGGGAGAUUGUGUUGGAGUGUGCUAAGGUAUUCUGGGCUGGACUUGGGGAAUGCAACACCUCCUCAUUGUGGGAAGACAAUAAUUCAAUCCACUUCCCUAUCACACCCCUGUCACAGGGCUCAGGACUUUCAGUUUAUACAGACUUCGUCCUGUGUGGCUGUGGACUACAAAUAUGCCCCUCUAGCAGCUUUCACCUAACUGGGCUCAGGGCAGAGCCUUUUCUCAUAGUCCAGAACUGACUACUCUGGCUUGUCUGCCUCUGUUGCUGGGAUGCUGUUACUCUGUGUAGGAAGCAGGAAUUGAGCACUAUCCUUCAUGCAAGAACUAGCUGCACAAACUCACUUUCAACUGGGAUAGAACUGCCACAGGAAGGGCUGGAAUGGCUUUCUCCAAGUGCAUACAUCCACCCCCAGUGAGAAGAGUCUCUGCUGUGUUUGCAACAGUGAACAAGGAAAGCAUGGAGAUGACCCCGUCUCCUUGCCCUUGACAUUCCUACAUUGAUUGUCAAGGUGUUGAAAUUUCCACCAUGUAGUUUUUUCUCCACACUCACAGAGAGGCUCACGGUAAACCUCCUAAAGCAUCUUAUUAAAAGAGGUAAUGAGCUUUCUUGUUUCAAGGCCCUCAAACUUAACCUUUUUUUCCAAUAUUUAGAAAAGGCUUUUUCAGUUAACGCAACUCUUUCUUGCCUCAAAUUUUCUUUAAAAUUGUGAUGCAAAUAUAAUUCUCUGUAGUGAAUCUCUCUAACCUUUUCUAAAUUGAAAGCAUUAUGCAAACAUUUAUAGCAAUUUAAACAAUCAUUUUGGAUAGCAAUUUUAUGAGUCAAUAUUUCUUUCCAAGAAAAUGUUUGGCAAACUAUAAUUUUGGAGAAAAUAUUAAGAUUAACAUUUUAGUUUCCAGAAAUGAUUGUAUUUGUACUAUGAAGCAGAAAAUUUAUGUAAAUUAUUAAAAAUAAAAAACUUUUGGUAAUUAUUCUUUGUUUAAAAAAUUUAAUUAUAAUGCUUAAAAAUGUAAAUAUUUCUAUUAUACAUUAUUGAUAAAUAUUAAUAUUAUACUAAUAUAAAUAUUAUUACUCAUUAAUACUUAUAUUA